UACGAAGGGUGCAAGCGUUACUCGGAAUUACUGGGCGUAAAGCGUGCGUAGGUGGUUUCUUAAGUCUGCUGUGAAAGCCCCGGGCUCAACCUGGGAAUUGCGGUGGAUACUGGGGAGCUAGAGUGCGGUAGAGGGUAGUGGAAUUCCCGGUGUAGCGGUGAAAUGCGUAGAGAUCGGGAGGAACACCAGUGGCGAAGGCGGCUACCUGGACCAGCACUGACACUGAGGCACGAAAGCGUGGGGAGCAAACAGG
rnacentral:rRNA from 1 species